rnacentral:rRNA from 1 species
AACGUAGGUCACAAGCGUUGUCCGGAAUUACUGGGUGUAAAGGGAGCGCAGGCAGGAAGACAAGUUGGAAGUGAAAUCCAUGGGCUCAACCCAUGAACUGCUUUCAAAACUGUUUUUCUUGAGUAGUGCAGAGGUAGGCGGAAUUCCCGGUGUAGCGGUGGAAUGCGUAGAUAUCGGGAGGAACACCAGUGGCGAAGGCGGCCUACUGGGCACCAACUGACGCUGAGGCUCGAAAGUGUGGGUAGCAAACAGG